GUCGCCUGAUGAUGAUGUCGGCCGCCUUGCGUGUGCCCGGAAGCGUGCCUUGGUGGCCGGAGGACGCGCGGAGGCAGCUCCUGCGUCCAGGCCUCGGGCUGGUGGUCGCGCGAUUUGGGGUGGUUUUCCGGGAGAAGUUUCAAGCCCAUCUUGUGCCUCAUUUCAAGGAGGAAACAGGGAAUUCCCUGGUGGUGCAGUGGUUAAGAAUCCGCCUGCCAAUGCAGGGGACACGGGUUUGAUCCCUGGUCCAGGAAGAUCCCACAUGCUGCAGAGCAACUAAGCCCAUGUGCCACAACUACUGAGCCUGCACUCUAGAGCUGGCGUGAUACAACUACUGAGCCCACGUGCCACAACUACUGAAGCCCGUGCACGUAGAGCCCGUGCUCCGCAACAAGAGAAGCCACCGUGAUGAGAAGCCCGUGCACCGCAACGAAGAGUAGCCCCCGCUCGCUGCAACUAGAGAAAGCCCACGCACAGCAACGAAGACCCAACGCAGCCAACAAAAUAAGUAAAUAAAAAAUAAAUUAAUUUUUAAAAAAGAAUUAAAAAA